GACGAACGCUGGCGGCGUGCUUAACACAUGCAAGUCGAACGGAAAGGCCCUGCUUUUGUGGGGUGCUCGAGUGGCGAACGGGUGAGUAACACGUGAGUAACCUGCCCUUGACUUUGGGAUAACUUCAGGAAACUGGGGCUAAUACCGGAUAGGAGCUCCUGCUGCAUGGUGGGGGUUGGAAAGUUUCGGCGGUUGGGGAUGGACUCGCGGCUUAUCAGCUUGUUGGUGGGGUAGUGGCUUACCAAGGCUUUGACGGGUAGCCGGCCUGAGAGGGUGACCGGGCAACGGGGGCUAGGGGAGGCGGCCGGAACCCAUCGGGGGGGAGGGAGGGGAGAUUGUCGAAGAAGGGCGGCGGGCGGGACGAAGCAGCCCGGCGUGGGGAAGGGGGCCUUUGGGGUUGAACCCGUGUGAGCCUGGCAAGGAAGGGGGGGGAAGGUAAGUGGGAAAAAAAGCACGGCUAACUACGUG
rnacentral:rRNA from 1 species